UACGUAGGGUGCAAGCGUUGUUCGGAAUUACUGGGCGUAAAGCGCGCGUAGGCGGGUUGGAAAGUCGAUUGUGAAAGCCCUAGGCUUAACCUGGGAAUUGCAGUCGAAACUCCCAAUCUUGAGUGCCUGAGAGGAUGGCGGAAUCCCGGUGUAGUAGUGAAAUACGUAGAUAUCGGGAAGAACACCUGAGGCGAAGGCGGCUAUCUGGCGAUGCACUGACGCUGAGGCGCGAAAGCGUGGGGAGCAAACAGG
rnacentral:rRNA from 1 species